rnacentral:lncRNA from 1 species
GCACCCCGAUACUUGACUUCCCAGCCUCCAGCCUGAUCUGGGGGAAGCCAGUUGUGCUUCUUAAGGCCUCCCUGUUGAGAGACUCAUGCCAGUGAACUUGGAAGCAGAUCUCCUAAAGCCUCUCAACAGCUACAGAAAUUAACUUGAAAGGAGAUCCUCUAACCAGCUGAGGCUUGAGAUGACUGCAGCCCUGGCCAGGACCUCAGUCGCAGGCUGUGAGAGUCCUGGAGCCAAAAUCACCCAGAGAAGCUACUCCUGGAUUCCCAACACAGACCAUUGAAAUAAUAAAUGUUUAUUGCUUUAACCUCUA